rnacentral:rRNA from 1 species
AUUGAACGCUGGCGGCAUGCCUUACACAUGCAAGUCGAACGGCAGCGCGGGGCAACCUGGCGGCGAGUGGCGAACGGGUGAGUAAUAUAUCGGAACGUACCCUGGAGUGGGGGAUAACGUAGCGAAAGUUACGCUAAUACCGCAUACGAUCUACGGAUGAAAGUGGGGGAUCGCAAGACCUCAUGCUCGUGGAGCGGCCGAUAUCUGAUUAGCUAGNGGUAGGGUAAAGCCUACCAAGGCAUCGAUCAGUAGCUGGUCUGAGAGGACGACCAGCCACACUGGAACUGAGACACGGUCCAGACUCCUACGGGAGGCAGCAGUGGGGAAUUUUGGACAAUGGGCGCAAGCCUGAUCCAGCAAUGCCGCGUGAGUGAAGAAGGCC